GACGAACGCUGGCGGCGUGCUUAACACAUGCAAGUCGAACGGAAAGGCCCCUUUGGGGGUACUCGAGUGGCGAACGGGUGAGUAACACGUGAGUAACCUGCCCUUGACUUCGGGAUAACUUCAGGAAACUGGGGCUAAUACCGGAUAGGAAUCCUUGCUGCAUGGUGGGGGUUGGAAAGCUUCGGCGGUUUUGGAUGGACUCGCGGCUUAUCAGCUUGUUGGUGGGGUAGUGGCUUACCAAGGCUUUGACGGGUAGCCGGCCUGAGAGGGCGACCGGCCACAUUGGGACUGAGAUACGGCCCAGACUCCUACGGGAGGCAGCAGUGGGGAAUAUUGCACAAUGGGCGGAAGCCUGAUGCAGCAACCCCGCGUGCGGGAUGACGGCCUUCGGGUUGUAAACCGCUUUCAGCAGGGGCGAAGCUUGUGGUGACGGUACCUGCAGAAGAAGCACCGGCUAACUACGUG
rnacentral:rRNA from 1 species